CUGUUUCUGCUCUUGAUGAUUAGUCAUGGAUAUGCUUGUGUAACUUCACGUGCCAAGCAGAACGGAGAGGUGCUUCUGACAAGAGGGACAAUGUUGGAACCAAAACAAGGGGCAAGAAUAUGUUGGCCUCUUCAUCUGCUGAUUAUUAAGUUUUCUGGAAGGGCUAAAAGAAAACUGUGGAGCUUCCAGGCUGUUGCUGUUUUCCACGUGGAUGUUACAGCUAUUUUCGAUAAGAAUGUCAUUGCCACUGUAUUGAAUGGAUUUUAUAUGAUGGUAUAAAUAUGUCAAUUAGUAUUUCAAUUAGCAUCUGUGACUAAUCCUGCCCACGCUGGGAAGUUGCAGUGUGCAAGUUUCUUACCCAAGGGUGUGUUUUUGUUCCUUUGUUAUUCAACUCUAACGUCAGCUGGAAACUUGAAUAGUGGGGGAUAGGACAGAAAAUUAUGAGUUUUCUUUUUCAUGGAAGGUGAAGAAUUGGAUAGAAACGUUUCAGCAGAGGGCGAGGUCCCAAUUCUCCUGCACUGUAUGAAAUUCCAUGUUCUAUUGCACGUUGUGCAUCAACUCCCACAGACUUUCUUUUAAAUGGUUGAAUGCUCCAAAGUCUCUAUGAACUUUGUAAAGGACUUUGUCAUACAGCUUUGUUCUCCUGCUCUCUGAGUGACUGCGCAGCUCCUUAAAAGUUUCAUUAAAUGGCUUAUUCUUAACUCUACUGACAUACCAUCCAUGCCAUCGUCUUCAGCUAUGGGUUUACGGUGCUCUGUUCUGAUACCUGUGGGAAGAAGGGAUUUCUCAUUUUUCAUUAUUUCCAUUUUGCCAGUAGAGGGCACAACUGCUUAAAUCGCAUACACUCCAUACGCGGUGUGCUGUGCUGACAGCAAUUAAAAAAAUAAAGAAAUGCACAUCUAUUUCC
ensembl:lncRNA